GAUGAACGCUGGCGGCGUGCCUAAUACAUGCAAGUCGAGCGAACGGACGAGAAGCUUGCUUCUCUGAUGUUAGCGGCGGACGGGUGAGUAACACGUGGAUAACCUACCUAUAAGACUGGGAUAACUUCGGGAAACCGGAGCUAAUACCGGAUGAUAUUUUGAACCGCAUGGUUCAAAAGUGAAAGACGGUCUUGCUGUCACUUAUAGAUGGAUCCGCGCUGCAUUAGCUAGUUGGUAAGGUAACGGCUUACCAAGGCAACGAUGCAUAGCCGACCUGAGAGGGGGCAGGGCCACAAGGGGACUGAGACGCGGCGCAGGAUACGACGGGAGGAAGCAGUAGGGAAUCUGUGGAAAUGGAAGAAAGUCUGAACGAGCAAGGCCGGGGGAGAGAAGAAGGGUGUCAGACCGGAAAGAUAGUUUGAAAGAGAAGAACGAGUGUGAGAGUGGAAAGUUCACACUGUGACGGGAUCUGAGCAGAAAGGGACGGCUAACUACGUG
rnacentral:rRNA from 1 species